UAUGUUACGCCAGUUUUUAGUGUUUCUGGCAAUAUGUGCCUUUACCACGGCUUUUUUACAAGACAAGAUAGCAGAGGACACUGCAAAGAGAAUUGCACCCAAAUUCAAACGCAAAUUGACGAACGUUCUGAUGAAACCGGUCGGAAGCUCAGUUCGGUUAAAAUGUGCUGCUGAUGGCAAUCCAACGCCCAACAUAACUUGGUCAAAAAACAAUGGUCCUAUAAUAAGGAGAUACUUUCAGCCCAGAUACGGGAAAUGGUCGGUAUAUUUCGAGGAAUUAGGAAAACCUGACGAUGGGAACUACACAUGUCUCGUAUGCAACGGGUUGGGCUGUAUUAGCAACACAUUUGUUCUUACUGUCGUUGAACGCUACCCCUCGAAGCCAAUUAUAAAACACGGAUAUCCGGGAAAUAUAACAGCUCUUGUCAACGAUACGAUAAAAUUUUCGUGCCCAGCCGUAACCGAUUUUUAACCUUAUUUGUACUGGGUUAAGGCCUAUGAUAAUUUCACUAUUGCGGACAUAGGACUGUAUGAACCGACGAUACCAGGAGUUGAAGUAAAGAGUGACAACCCUGCAGACGAGUUUGAUACGCUCACUGUGGCCAACGUAACCCUAUCGGACCGAGGCUGGUACGCCUGUGUUGCCAUUAACUCACUCGGAACUACCACGGCUAUGGGAUACUUGGCUGUCUUGGAAAAAACUAAAUGAAUCGAUUAAUUUAAGAAAUGCAUGAUAUUAUAUAACAGGGGUAGGGCAUUAUGUAUAAUGCCCGGGCAAUUUAAUGUUUUUUUUUUUAUAUUGGGGAUGUGUAAGGUUACACAGAUCAACUUAGCCCCAAAC